GACGUAGGGCGCGAGCGUUUGUCCGGAUUUAUUGGGCGUAAAGAGCUCGUAGGCGGCUUGUCGCGUCGUUCGUGAAAACCUGCAGCUCAACUGCAGGCUUGCGGUCGAUACGGGCAGGCUAGAGUUCGGUAGGGGAGACUGGAAUUCCUGGUGUAGCGGUGGAAUGCGCAGAUAUCAGGAGGAACACCGAUGGCGAAGGCAGGUCUCUGGGCCAUUACUGACACUGGAGAAGCGAAAGCAUGGGGAGCGAACAGG
rnacentral:rRNA from 1 species